AACGCACCUUGCGCUCCUUGGUAUUCCGAGGAGCAUGCCUGUUUGAGUGUCUUGAAGUCAUCAACCCCAAACGUUUCGUGCGUUCUGGUGGUUGGAGCUGGGGGCUGCUGCCGCAAGGCUGCUCCCCUCAAAUGCAUCGGUUGGACCUGUGGGUCGAACUCGACUGGGCGUUGUACCAUCCUCGCUCUUACCCGAGACGUUCCCCUUUGUUGUGUCCUUCCACAGACCCCUGCCAGUUGGAGUUGGCGGUCGACACUUUGAAAUUCUGACCUCAAAUCAGGUAGGACUACCCGCUGAACUUAA
rnacentral:misc_RNA from 1 species